CAGCGUUUCCCUCCUGGGUCCUGAUGGCCCGUCUGUCUUCACCUUUAAUUCUUGCUGGAAUCCCCACCUCACUAGGAGAGAGCUUCUGGAAUCAGCAAAGAGGGAGCAAGCUGGGAUGCGUGACUACGUGGGGACAUGGAAACCAGACAGGCGCGGGGCUCUGCCUCCUGGGAACACAGGAUCUGAAGGCUCCAGAAGUUUCUUGAUUCCACAGUAGACACCACCUGUCACAUGGUGCUCCCUUAUCGGAGGCCUCGCAUCGACAAGCUCUCACCCUGAAAGGGAGAGAUAGGAGGCAUGAUUGCAUCUUAAUCUGUAAUUUACUGCUCGGUCCCAGUUAGUGUUUAGCUCCAGCUGUCUCAGAAGCGAACCUUGGGUUAAAAUGUAAUAGAUGCUCAUUUUGUAUUCUCUCUCUUGUUUGACGUUGAAGUCCGGUUCUGAUCAAUAGGUGUCUACCCCCCCCCCAGCCCUGCGUCCCUGCACACACACACACACACACACACACACACACACACACACACACACACUCAACACACUUAUUUUGAAAACAAUCAUUUGUUUUCCUCAACCUGAACACCACCUAUUUGUUUCUUUUUGAUGUUGUAUUUGGUGGGUUCCGAGAAUCCUUGCAGAUUUUCAUGAAAUCUUGAAAUCUUCUCCAUUCCAAAUUGUGUGUGUGUGUGUGUGUGUGUGUGUGUGUGUGUGUGUGUGUGUGUGUCUUGGUCUGUCUUCCUCAGUCAUAGACCUAAAUCUGAUUUACAGGGAACCUUGUAAAUAAAAAGAAGAAUAAGAAAACGACAACAAAAUGCAAAAUGUAUUCAAACAUCCCUUGGCAGGGGAAGCUCCUUCUCUCUCUUUGGCUUCCUCAAGAGGCAAGGGUCCCUCUGCUAUGAUAAUUUAUAUACAUUUGGAGCUUUGGAACAUCAAAAAGACCCAGCCCACCAACCCUUUCCUUUAAAGGAACAUUUUCCAAAGCAUCUACCCACCAUGAUGGAGAACCUAUGCUUUUUAUCUAGUGUUGUGUAAGGCUUCCCUCUGAGAUCACAACAUCCUGGCAGGGAAGUUCUUUAAAUGGAAGGGAAACAACUCAAAAUGACCUCAGGAAGCUCCUGAAACUGAGCAGAUUCACUAGGCCCCUCCCUGCCCGAGUAAAUCAAAGUACUGAGAGAGUCUUCCUAAGGCAGUAGGAAGCUGAGCUGCAAAGAAGACUCUGAGAUCAGAUCGUGUUCCUGGGAGAGGUUUAGACCAGAGUCACUUGGAAGGGACACUCUCCAACCUGUUGAGUGGCCUGCAGGCUGUGCGCUGAGCUCCAGGCUCCCAGCUUUGUGAGCUGUCACCCAUGCUGGGGUGGGCUUUGGUGAUGCAGCUGCCUUUGGGUCAUUUCUGCUCCUGUAAGUAAUCCCUCACCCACAUUCCUGUAAGUAACCCCAAUAAAACUCACUGGUUCACCAAGA